AUUGCGCCAUCCAGGCAAUGUGGAUAUUCUGCCAUGUACGUGAUAAACCGAAGAUUCUUCUCAACAUGCAAGCUGUUACUCCCUGUAAACUGCUGUUGGCAGAAAAGCUUAUACAUUGGGAAAACGGUUAUGGCAAGUGCGAUAAAUAAAUCACCAUAGGUCAGUUGUCUUGCCUUCACAAUUGCAACGAAGAUGAAUCAUGGAGUCAAAAACAUUAAAAGAACAUGCUGGAAUUCAUGUCAUCCUGGAGAGGACUAAAAAAAACGAGCUUUAUCCACGAAGCAGCUCAUUAAUCAUGUCCCAAACGAUUGUCUGCGUCAGCCAGCAAUCUUUCAAUGGCUAACAAGCAUUUAAUAGUUUUGAAAAUCGCGGUUUGCACUCCCUAAGGCGACAUUCCUUAAUCCUCACCUGUCAAUAGAUUUGAGUGCAACCAUUUCUAUUCUGAACUGUCGCCUACGAAAUUCUUUUUCCAUAAAAUCAGGUGAUAUGAUGUUAUAAUGGAAAUUGUUGUCAAGAUUGCCGAGACCAGCCCAUGGAAGAUCUCUGUGUCCAACACGAAGGGUUCUUCCAAACUUUCGUAUUCAAGUUUUGGCUAUGGUGAUCAUUUGCAACUGCAUAGCCUUAUAGAAGCUCC